rnacentral:lncRNA from 10 species
ACACACUCAGGGAGUGCACCAUGUGAAGACUGGACUUAAACAGCUACACCACCAGAAGCCGAGAGAGAGGCUGGAACAUAGCCUUCCCUUUGGAGGUAGCCUGGCCCAGUGGGCACUGUGAUCUCAGACUUCCAGCCUUCAGAACUGUGAGACAAUAUUUUAUUGUUUAAGCCACUUAUUUUUUGGUACUUUCUUACGGCAGCCCUAGCAGAUGCUAAUCCAGCGUGCGUCCUGGCAGAGGUUGAAGGGGGCUCCUCAAGUCCCAGGUCCAGCUUGGUGUGGUUCAGCUACUCGAGAGACAUCUGCUGCUAAUGGAUGAGCAGUCAACCUGGACGCAGGAAAUCAUUUUUUAUUUGGACAAGCAAAGUGGAUCAGCAAAGGCUGCAGUCACCAGCAUCUUUUCCAACCUUAAUGAACUGUAUCCUCAAAAGAACACUAUCAGACUGGUAAGACAAGCAUUAUUGUCCCACUUCACAGAUGAAGAGCUUGGGGGCCCUGUGGAUGUGUAGGAGAGUCGGCCUUCCUUUUUAUAGGCCUUUUGCUGAGCUCAGAGGACAGAGCAGAAGACAAAGCCGAAUGCAGCCCUAAGCAGACACUAUCCCAGCCCAAGGAGCUAUGCAGACAGCUCCUGCCUAGAGGAGAAACAAUUCU